UGCCAGCCGCCGCGGUAAUACGGAGGGGACAAGCGUUAAUCGGAAUUACUGGGCGUAAAGAGCUCGUAGGUGGUCCGAUAAGUGACAAGUGAAAGGCCUGGGCUUAACCUAGGCAUUGCUUGUGAUACUGUCGGACUAGAGUACAGUAGAGGAAAGCGGAAUUCCCGGUGUAGCGGUGAAAUGCGUAGAUAUCGGGAGGAACAUCAAUGGCGAAGGCAGCUUUCUGGACUGAAACUGACACUGAGGAGCGAAAGCGUGGGGAGCGAACAGGAUUAGAUA
rnacentral:rRNA from 1 species